rnacentral:rRNA from 1 species
GAUCAUGGUCAGGAUGAACGCUAGCUACAGGCUUAACACAUGCAAGUCGAGGGGCAGCAUUGGAGUAGCAAUACUCAGAUGGCGACCGGCGCACGGGUGAGUAACACGUAUCCAACCUGCCGCUUACUCGGGGAUAGCCUUUCGAAAGAAAGAUUAAUACCCGAUGGUAUAAAGAGUUCGCAUGUUCUCUUUAUUAAAGAAUUUCGGUAAGCGAUGGGGAUGCGUUCCAUUAGAUAGUUGGCGGGGUAACGGCCCACCAAGUCUACGAUGGAUAGGGGUUCUGAGAGGAAGGUCCCCCACAUUGGAACUGAGACACGGUCCAAACUCCUACGGGGGGCAGCAGUGAGGAAUAUUGGUCAAUGGACGAGAGUCUGAACCAGCCAAAGUAGCGUGAAGGAUGACUGCCCUAUGGGUUGUAAACUUCUUUUAUAAGGGAAUAAAGUGAGGGACGUGUCCCUUUUUGUAUGUACCUUAUGAAUAAGGAUCGGCUAACUCCGUGCCAGCCGCAGC